rnacentral:rRNA from 1 species
UACGGAGGGAGCUAGCGUUAUUCGGAAUUACUGGGCGUAAAGCGUACGUAGGCGGCUUUGUAAGUUAGAGGUGAAAAGCCUAGAGCUCAACUCCCAGAACUGCCUUUAAAAACUGCAUCGCUUGAAUCCAGGAGAGGUGAGUGGAAUUCCGAGUGUAGAGGUGAAAUUCGUAGAUAUCGGAAGAACACCAGUGGCGAAGGCGGCUCACUGGACUGGUAUUGACGGCUGAGGUAC